AACUUGUAACGGCUCUGUCUGACACCGCUACAAGUUUAGCUGCGCCAAGAGCCAGGGUGAACAGAAAGACCACAGCCAGGUAGAGACGUGUUUGUUUACAAACUGCUGGUUGACAUGGAGAAUUUCUCAGUGAGUGACGUAGACAGGUGUAUCAUAAUGGGACCCAGUGUCCUGUUUCCUCAGUCAUGUCCAGCAAGAAGAUUACCAGUGUGAUCCCUGGUGGUGGCCGAUGGUCUUUUCUCCAUGGAGUUCCACCUGAAAGUUCACAAGUAUUCACCAGUGACAAGGGCAUUCUUUGAGAUCUUUGGUUCAAAAAGUCUGGUGAAACUCUGGACUAGACUGCAGUGGCUGUUGAACCCUCACCUCCUCACAGAGAUAAUGAACACGGAAACUUACAUAACUGGAAAAAAAAAUAAAGCCAGAUCAGAGAGUCUAAGGUUUGAGAGAGAUUACUCUUCUACUAGUUUCUUCUUAAAACAGCAGUACACGCUGUAAUUCAAUGACUUUUCUGCCUGUGUUUGGUCGACAGCAAGACAUUUUCUGCCCACUGACCAUUUAAAAAAUGUCUGAGAUUGUUAUCAGUGUCAACCAUUUUUAAUAUUUCACUGGCACUUCUUUUUCACCAUCCUUCAGCCUACCGUUAUAGCACAAAUGUUAAUCUCAACCCUGCUGUUUGAAAACCACUGUAUGAACUACAGUAAUUUGGCACAUUGAUGUCAUAAUGAAUCAAACGAAUGCUCUCAGAAUAAUACUGAUGUUGAUCAGAGGCUUCAUAAAUGAAUAUCCGCAAUUAGUCCCACAUCAAUAUUUAACACAUUCAGCAAUGUUUCUCAUUUAUGGGUAAUUUUGGUUGACAAAGUAGAUAGACAGAGUCAGGAUGGUUGAUAUGAUGAUUCCCUGCCCAGGCCACUCAGCAAGUUGACAUGGGGUUUGUGUACAUCCAGUGACUCACAGUACAAGCAAUUCAAGUUGUAUUUGUAGGAGAUACGUUUCAGUUUGUCCUGUGGUGACACAGUGAUUGUAGCCUAGCAGCAGCAGCAGCAGCCGUCGUCUACCAAUCAGCAGACGUUUGCCCUCCUUUCUUCUAACCUGGAUCUAACCUAGAUCUUCCCAGAACUGUCAUCCUAAUCCCCAUCCUCUGCACUCUGUAAUCACAGCCUUACAUAAACAGCACCUCAGAAGCAGGAACAAAUCCCAAAUUUUCUUGACCCCAAAUCUUUGCAAGUAAACAAAAAGAUCCACAGUGCAGCACACGGCUGUCUGUUGGUGUUGUCAGAACAUGUGGGCAUAUGGGUUUUUACGGGCCUGUUUCUAUAGAGCAUUGUUUAUCCUAAAGGUUGCCGUCUGUGUCGGUUUAGUUCUGCUAUUUGUCUCGCUUCACUCUGCUGUGAGAGAUUCCAGCUGCGCAGAGAAAACUCUUUAGUGCUAACAAGCUGAACCACAACACAAAUGGCAACUAAUCCAAAUGUCAACAGCUUUUUCCCAAAUGUCUGAAUCGGUGAUUGGUUGAUCUUUGCUCGAACUUGCCUGCUGUCAUUCAUAAGAAAUAUUAUUACUUUGGCUGAAAGCACAACGACCUCAUGGGUCUCGGUGAAGUCAUAGUUUUAUUACUUCCUAGCUGCAUUUUCAUCCGUAAUUUAUUUGACAGAGAAACUAAUUUUCCUUCUAAACAAACACAGUACAGUGUGUUGCAAUUUUUUUUUUUGCCUUGGUAUUCAGAUGAACUGUUAGACUUUAUAGAUCAAAUGUAUCUUUGUGCUCGACAUGAAGGUAAAAAAUGGAUAUUGAUAAAUGAGGUACGAGUUCUCAGUUGUUGAGAGCAUUUGCAAUUUAUAAUUUGUCCACCAUUUUCAGCAGCGAUGGUC